rnacentral:rRNA from 1 species
UUUCCGGUUGAUCCUGCCGGACCUGACUGCUAUCGGAUUGAUACUAAGCCAUGCGAGUCUUUGCAGUAAUGCAAGGCAUACGGCUCAGUAACACGUAGUCAACUUACCCUAUGGACGAGGAUAAUCUCGGGAAACUGAGCAUAAUACUCGAUAGAUCAUAAUGCCUGGAAUGGUUUAUGGUUAAAAUGAUUCGUCGCCAUAGGAUGGGACUGCGGCCUAUCAGCUUUGUUGGUGAGGUAAUGGCCCACCAAGGCGAUUACAGGUACGGGCUCUGAGAGGAGAAGCCCGGAGAUGGGUACUGAGACAAGGACCCAGGCCCUAUGGGGCGCAGCAGGCGAGAAAACUUUGCAAUGUGCGAAAGCACGACAAGGUUAAUCCGAGUGAUUUCUGCUAAAGAAAUCUUUUGCAAGUCAUAAAACCACUAGUGAAUAAGGGGUGGGCAAGUUCUGGUGUCAGCCGCCGCGGUAAAACCAGCACCUCAAGUGGUCAGGAGGAUUAUUGGGCCUAAAGCAUCCGUAGCCGGCUCUGUAAGUUUUCGGUUAAAUCCAUGUGCUCAACGCAUGGGCUGCCGAAAAUACUGCAUAGCUAGGGAGUGGGAGAGGUAGACGGUACUCGGUAGGAAGGGGUAAAAUCCUUUGAUCUAUCGAUGACCACCUGUGGCGAAGGCGGUCUACCAGAACACGUUCGACGGUGAGGGAUGAAAGCUGGGGGAGCAAACCGGAUUAGAUACCCGGGUAGUCCCAGCUGUAAACGAUGCAGACUCGAUGAUGCAUUGGCAUAUAGCCAGUGCAGUGUCGCAGGGAAGCCGUUAAGUCUGCCGCCUGGGAAGUACGUACGCAAGUAUGAAACUUAAAGGAAUUGGCGGGGGAGCACCACAAGGGGUGAAGCCUGCGGUUCAAUUGGAGUCAACGCCGGAAAGGGC